UACGUAGGGUGCAAGCGUUAUCCGGAAUUAUUGGGCGUAAAGAGCUCGUAGGCGGUUUGUCGCGUCUGCUGUGAAAACCGGAGGCUCAACCUCCGGCCUGCAGUGGGUACGGGCAAACUAGAGUGCGGUAGGGGAGAUUGGAAUUCCUGGUGUAGCGGUGGAAUGCGCAGAUAUCAGGAGGAACACCGAUGGCGAAGGCAGGUCUCUGGGCAUUAACUGACGCUGAGGAGCGAAAGCGUGGGGAGCGAACAGG
rnacentral:rRNA from 1 species